rnacentral:lncRNA from 1 species
UCUUUUUCCAUAUUUGUCUCCUUCUCUAAACCUCCAUUUCCAAACGUCGUACCUUUGUUAUCGACGAGGAUCAUAUAUUUUUUUUUCUUUUGGCCAAUUCUGACGAGGCUGUGUUGCGGUGCCAUGGCAUCGUUGCCACCAUCGUGACCCUAUAGUGGCCUCCCGACGCUAGGCCUUGUGCUCGGUGGCGUUAGGGACUGCACCUCCUCCGUGGAGGUGUCUCUCCUUUAUUGCGCUGUCAAGGUCCUGCUAAUGCACCUAGGGUUUUAUAGUAAAAUUUAUAUUAUUUUAUUCAAUAUAUAAACACAUUAAACAAGAUACAAUAUCAAAUUAGUUGUAUUGCAUCAAGUGUCAACCAACAUAUAGUACAAAAAGUUAUUCUAUGACUCAGCUUUUGAUUAAUGGAGUUCUUUUUGUCUUAUCUUUCUAGCAAAUCAAACUUACCUUUAAUAUCAUAUCAACAUACAUAAUAAAUUGCUAAAUCAUUUAUCACAUUGACAUGUUAGUGUCACAUUAUUACUUAUUACUUAUAAGCAAUGUCAUAAAUUUGGGUUAUAAAAUUGAAGGCAUACAUACAGUGAAUUAAAAUUACUAAAUUUUAAAAAGUUGAUAACCAGAUUUGCAAUAAAUUUUUUCUAGAGACCAAAAUUGCUUAAGGAUAAAAAAUAUAUAUUUAAUUCUAAUUUAUUUUAAAAAAUUAAAAUUAAAGAUAAAGUAUGGUAAACUAAAAUAGAAAAACAAAUAAGAUCAAUACUUUAUAAAUAUGGAGAAACAAGCCAUAAUUGUUUUUUUUUUUGUUUUCGUAAAAAUAUUAAUACAAUAAUAUUUUGUCUGUUCGUUAUGCAUGACGAAAAAGGUUUUCGUUGAGUAGAUGAAAAAUUGUUUCCAUCAAAAGCAUUUUUGUCAAAAAGAGAAAGUUAGGAUAUGAACUUAAGUUUUCACCUGGGCAGGAAAUAUACUCCUUUACUAAGUGUAACAUUUAGCUCAUGGUUAUUACUUUUUGUAUUUUCCAUAUUACUUCCUGCACUUCCUCUCUCCUUUCGGACUGUCCAUCCUGAAAUAUGUAAACCUACAUCUUAAAAUACAGUCUCUUUUUAGCUUCCAGAAUAACCAUUCUAAAAGGUCAAAAACAUUCCAGACAAAAUUGCAGGAAGCAUGGGAGUGCAGGAAGUAAUAGUCCCCGCUGACACAGUAAAAUGGUGCAUUCUGCUUGAUAUUAGGCGCAAUACCUGUUGCACCCGACCACCCGUUCUUAAAUUAAACCCGAUUUACUUACAAGACAGAUCAUUGAUUUUCUUACCACUUCUGUCAAAUUUCAUUACCAAAGGAAAAGUUCACUUUAAAAUAUUUACAUGGUCAUUCAGAGGGGACAAUUAUAGA